rfam:Ovis aries breed Texel chromosome 18, whole genome shotgun sequence.
UCCCUGGUGGCUCAGAUGGUAAAGAAUCUGCCUGCAAUGCAGGAGACCUGGGUUCAACCCCUGGGUUGGGAA